rnacentral:rRNA from 1 species
UACGAAGGGUGCAAGCGUUACUCGGAAUUACUGGGCGUAAAGCGUGCGUAGGUGGUGAGUUAAGUCUGUCGUGAAAGCCCCGGGCUCAACCUGGGAAUGGCGAUGGAUACUGGCUCGCUAGAGUGCGGUAGAGGGGUGUGGAAUUCCCGGUGUAGCAGUGAAAUGCGUAGAUAUCGGGAGGAACAUCUGUGGCGAAGGCGACACCCUGGACCAGCACUGACACUGAGGCACGAAAGCGUGGGGAGCAAACAGG